AUUGAACGCUGGCGGCAGGCCUAACACAUGCAAGUCGAGCGGAGCGGCGGACGGGAGAGUAUGGACUAGGAAUCGGCAUGGUAGUGGGGGAGAACGACCGGAAACGGGCGAGAAUACCGCAUACUAGCAGAUGAGCCUAGGUCGGAUUAGCUAGUUGGUGGGGUAAAGGCCUACCAAGGCGACGGUCCGUAACUGGUCUGAGAGGAUGAUGAGCCACACUGGAACUGAGACACGGUCCAGACUCCUACGGGAGGCAGCAGUGGGGAAUAUUGGACAAUGGGCGAAAGCCUGAUCCAGCCAUGCCGCGUGUGUGAAGAAGGUCUUCGGAUUGUAAAGCACUUUAAGUUGGGAAGCGUUACCUACAGAAUAAGCACCGGCUAACUUCGUGCCAGCAGCCGCGGUAAUAC
rnacentral:rRNA from 1 species